rnacentral:tRNA from 1 species
AUGGCUGUGGCUCAACGGUAGUGCACUUGCCUGGCAUGUGUGAGACACUGAGUUCGAUUCUCAGCAUCAUA